UUUGAGAAGUCAUUUGCUUCAAUAUUAAGGUUCUCUUCUAUAGUCCUUCGGGAACUAUAUCACAUCAUAAACAAAAACUAAGAUCAAUAUUUGAGCAAUCCUUCGAGGAUGCUUUAAUGUUGAAUUCUUCUUGAAUUCAUCAAGAUUAAAUAUUAUUAACAUAUGAAAAUAUAAAUAAAAUAAAGAACUGUGAUAAAGAAUACGAGCAUGAAAUAGAGUAUAAAAAUAAUAAUAAGG
rnacentral:lncRNA from 1 species